UACGUAGGGUGCAAGCGUUAAUCGGAAUUACUGGGCGUAAAGCGAGUGUAGGCGGUUUGGAAAGUCGGAUGUGAAAGCCCCGGGCUCAACCCGGGAAGUGCACUCGAUACUCCCAAGCUAGAGUAUCGGAGAGGUUGGUGGAAUUCUCGGUGUAGAGGUGAAAUUCGUAGAUAUCGAGAGGAACACCGGUGGCGAAGGCGGCCAACUGGACGAAUACUGACGCUGAGGCGCGAAAGCUAGGGGAGCAAACAGG
rnacentral:rRNA from 1 species